UUCCUCUUUGAAACUUAAUAUUGUUUCUUAUAUCCCAAACUUUGCGGCUGAACGGCCUGAUCCACACAGCACAUGUUGCUUAGCAACUUUCGCUUUAACAGAGAGUCAGAUGAGGAGCUGUGGCAACAGCGGUGCAAAGCAAGUACGCUCUGGACUAAAAGUACAUGCUGCUGUUUAGAGUUUCAUGUGAAGUCCGUCUGGUUUUGCCCACCUUUGAAGUUUAAAGCAUUUUGCAUCAGGACAUUUAUGACAACGCCUGGAUUUUCUCUUACACAGACAGAUGAUGCCUCAAAGCAAGUCUCAUCUCUGGGCUUGUUUGGACAUUUUGCCUCAAAAGAGAGUGGAACACAGGACUGCAAGACACACGGGGUGUGUGAAGGCACAGGGGCAGAGAGCACGGGAUACCAGCACUUGGGAGAAGACAUGUCACGGGAGUCGAGGGAGCACUUUUGGAGAUUCAAUGUGUGGUGUACAUUUACCUCACUGUAAAUAAACCCACUGUUCAUUUCA